AUUGAACGCUGGCGGCAGGCCUAACACAUGCAAGUCGAGCGAGCGGCGGACGGGUGAGUAAUGUAUGGGGACUGCCCGAUAGAGGGGGUUAAUUACUGGAACCGGUGGCUAAUACCGCAUACUAUCGGAUAACCCAUAUGGGUUUAGCUAGUAGGUGGGGUAAAGGUUCACCUAGCCGACGAUCUCUAGCUGGUCUGAGAGGAUGAUCAGCCACACUGGGACUGAGACACGGCCCAGACUCCUACGGAGGCAGCAGUGGGGAAUAUUGCACAAGGGGCGCAAGACUGAUGCAGCCAUGCCGCGUGUAUGAAGAAGGCCUUAGGGUUGUAAAGUACUUUCAGCGGGGAGGCGUUACCCGCAGAAGAAGCACCGGCUAACUACGUGCCAGCAGCCGCGGUAAUUC
rnacentral:rRNA from 1 species